rnacentral:tRNA from 1 species
GGGGAUAUAGCUCAGGGCAGAGUCUGUGCUUACCAUGCACUAGUUCCUGGGUUCGAUUCCCAGUACCUCCA